rnacentral:tRNA from 58 species
CGGGGCGUGGCGCAGCCUGGUAGCGCGCUUGUUUUGGGUACAAGAGGCCCCCGGUUCGAGUCCGGGCGCCCCGACCA